AGAAGCCGUAUGAGAUGAAAACCUCAUGUACGGUUUUGGAAUGGAGAUUUUUGAAUAGAAUAACCCCUAGUAAAAGAGUGAAAGCAACGACCAUGU
rnacentral:ncRNA from 1 species